rnacentral:rRNA from 1 species
AAUCAAAUUUCUAAGAGCAAACGGUGGAUGCCUUGGCAUCUGGAGCCGAAGAAGGACGUAGUAAUCUGCGAUAAUCCUCGGGGAGCUGAUAAACGAGCUUUGAUCCGAGGGUCUCCGAAUGGGGAAACCCAGCUGGCGAUCAUAGCCAGUUACCUCUGCCUGAAUAUAUAGGGCAGUUGGAGGGAACGUGGGGAAGUGAAACAUCUCAGUACCCACAGGAAGAGAAAACAACAUGUGAUUCCGUAAGUAGUGGCGAGCGAACGCGGAAGAGGCCAAACCGCACGUGUGUGAUAGCCGGCAGGCGUUGCACGUGCGGGGUUGCGGGACGUCUCUGUUGAUCUGCCGAUCAGCAAACGUUACAGCGCAGGAUAGUCGAAGAGCUUGGAACAGCUCAUCAAAGAGGGUGAGAAUCCCGUAGACGAAAUUCUGUAAUGGCGUGAGACCCAUCCCAAGUAGCACGGGGCCCGAGAAAUCCCGUGUGAAUCUGCCAGGACCACCUGGUAAGCCUAAAUACUCCCAGAUGACCGAUAGCGGACAAGUACCGUGAGGGAAAGGUGAAAAGUACCCCGGGAGGGGAGUGAAAUAGUACCUGAAACCGUUUGCUUACAAACCGUUGGAGCAGCCCUAGUAGCUGUGACAGCGUGCCUUUUGAAGAAUGAGCCUGCGAGUUAGUGAUAUGUGGCAAGGUUAACCCGUGUGGGGAAGCCGUAGCGAAAGCGAGUCUGAAUAGGGCGAUUCAGUCGCAUGUCCUAGACCCGAAGCGAAGUGAUCUAUCCAUGGCCAGGUUGAAGCGAGGGUAAGACCUCGUGGAGGACCGAACCCACUUAUGUUGAAAAAUGAGGGGAUGAGCUGUGGAUAGGGGUGAAAGGCCAAUCAAACUUCGUGAUAGCUGGUUCUCUCCGAAAUGCAUUUAGGUGCAGCGUUGCGUGUUUCUUGCCGGAGGUAGAGCGACUGGAUGGCCGAUGGGCCUCAACAGGUUACUGACGUCAGCCAAACUCCGAAUGCCGGUAAGUGAGAGCGCAGCAGUGAGACGGUGGGGGAUAAGCUUCAUCGUCGAGAGGGAAACAACCCAGACCAUCAUCUAAGGUCCCUAAGCGUGUGCUAAGUGGAAAAGGAUGUGGAGUUGCUUAGACAACCAGGAGGUUGGCUUAGAAGCAGCCACCCUUGAAAGAGUGCGUAAUAGCUCACUGGUCAAGUGAUUCUGCGCCGACAAUGUAACGGGGCUCAAGCACACCACCGAAGGUAUGGAAUUCAGACAAUAGGCCGGCACUUUGUGUCCAGCCGUCUGGAUUGGUAGGAGAGCGUCGUGUGGCGAGCGAAGCGGCGGGGUAACCCAGCCGUGGAUGCCACACGAGUGAGAAUGCAGGCAUGAGUAGCGAAAGACGGGCGAGAAACCCGUCCUCCGAAAGACCAAGGGUUCCAGGGUCAAGCUAAUCUUCCCUGGGUAAGCCGGGACCUAAGGCGAGGCCGACAGGCGUAGUCGAUGGACAACAGGUUGAUAUUCCGUGCUAACGAAGAACCGCCCAAGCUAAUCUAGUGGUGCUAAGAGUCUGAAGCGUUUAUCAGAUCCCUUCGGGGUGACGAUUCACGUGGAGCACUCGACCCCAUGCUAGUGCGGCUAGCGUAUUAACAGGUGUGACGCAGGAGGAUAAGUGAACCGGGCGGAUGGAAGAGCCCGGGUAACGGUGUAGGACUGAAGAUUGGCAAAUCCGUCUUCUAUAUGUCUGAGACCGGACGCCGAACCGUAAAGGGAAGUCACUGAUUCCAUGCUGCCUAGAAAAGCAUCGACGCGAGGUUCUAGUUACCCGUACCCCAAACCAACUCAGGUGGUCAGGUAGAGAAUACUAAGGAGAUCGAGAUAAUCAUGGUUAAGGAACUCGGCAAAAUGCCCCCGUAACUUCGGGAGAAGGGGGGCCGGAAAGGUGAUGGCACUUGCUGCCUAAGCCCAGAAGGCCGCAGAGACCAGUGGGAAGCGACUGUUUAUCAAAAACACAGGUCCGUGCGAAGUCGCAAGACGAUGUAUACGGACUGACGCCUGCCCGGUGCUGGAAGGUUAAGAGGAGGGGUUAGCUUCGGCGAAGCUCUGAAUUUAAGCCCCAGUAAACGGCGGUGGUAACUAUAACCAUCCUAAGGUAGCGAAAUUCCUUGUCGGGUAAGUUCCGACCUGCACGAAUGGCGUAACGACUUCCCAGCUGUCUCAACCGUGAACUCGGCGAAAUUGCAAUACGAGUAAAGAUGCUCGUUACGCGCAGAAGGACGGAAAGACCCCGUGACCUUUACUAUAGCUUGGUAUUGGUGUUCGGAGUUGCCUGUGUAGGAUAGGUGGGAGACUUUGAAGCUUGGACGCUAGUUCAGGUGGAGUCAUUGUUGAAAUACCACUCUGGUAACUUUGGAUAUCUAACUUCGAACCGUGAUCCGGUUCAGGGACAGUGCCUGGUGGGUAGUUUAACUGGGGCGGUUGCCUCCUAAAGAGUAACGGAGGCGCCCAAAGGUUCCCUCAAUCUGGUUGGCAAUCAGAUGUCGAGUGUAAGUGCACAAGGGAGCUUGACUGUGACACCGGCGGGUGGAGCAGGGACGAAAGUCGGGACUAGUGAUCCGGCAGUGGCUUGUGGAAGCGCUGUCGCUCAACGGAUAAAAGGUACCUCGGGGAUAACAGGCUGAUCUUGCCCAAGAGUCCAUAUCGACGGCAUGGUUUGGCACCUCGAUGUCGGCUCGUCGCAUCCUGGGGCUGGAGUAGGUCCCAAGGGUUGGGCUGUUCGCCCAUUAAAGCGGCACGCGAGCUGGGUUCAGAACGUCGUGAGACAGUUCGGUCCCUAUCCUCUGCGCGCGUUGGAAAUUUGAGAAGAUUUGACCCUAGUACGAGAGGACCGGGUUGAACGAACCUCUGGUGUGUCAGUUGUCCUGCCCAGGGCACCGCUGAUUAGCUACGUUCGGGAUGGAUAACCGCUGAAAGCAUCUAAGCGGGAAGCCGGCUUCAAGAUGAGAUUUCCAUGCCCCUCGGGGCGAGAGGCUCCCAGUAGACUACUGGGUUGAUAGGCCGGAUGUGGAAGUGCAGCAAUGCAUGCAGCUGACCGGUACUAAUAAGCCAAUAAUUUGAUUAC